GUUUGUAAUUGAAGUCACAUCCUUGUGGACAUGUCCUUGUGAGGAUUGAGGUUUCUUGCAGAGCCUGGAUAGCUCAGUCGCUAGAGCGUCAGACUUUUAAUCUGAGGUCCAGUGUUCAAGUCCCUGUUCGGGAGAGUUGUUUCUUACUGCAUUAGGGCAUUCUGAUGGAAACCUGUUUACCCGCCGAGGUUAAGGAUUGAAGUCGAGACUGCCGGGACAACGAUGCUGCUCCUGUCAGAUGUGACUGGUCUGGAGUAAUUGCAACGACAAGAAAUCACUACAGACUUUAUUGAAGACUAGAGUGGAUAACAACUCUAUUAUUAUUUAAUUGUUUAUUUAUCUAUUUAUUACCAGUUAUGACUUUUAGAUCAUUUAAUUCUGUGUUUGUAUGAUUUGUGUAAAUCGUGUAUUUAUUUAAAGUAUCCUCCAGGCCACCCAUGAAGGAUGGGCCCUGCUGAGUCUGGUUCCUCUCAAGGUUUCUUCCUGUAAUUUUCAGGGAGUUUUUCCUUGCCACAGUCGCCCUCGGCUUGCUCAACAGGGGUUUUUGUAUCUGUUGGUCCUGGAUUUUGUAAAGUUGCUUUGAGACAAUGUCUAUUGUAAAAAGCGCUAUAUAAAUAAAGUUGACUUGACUUGA